CCCAUGAUAUCCAAUAGGAUGGGUCUAAAUUGAUCACGUGAUGCAGAAGUAGCCAAUCAGCGGUUUAAUUAGCUCAGUUGGCUUUAGUGAAGUUCUCGGUUUGUAGCAGUGCAGCAGCCAAAAGCAAUCAGGAUGAAUGUAGGAUUUAAAAGCCACUGUUUACUGACAGGAAUCCAGUGGAAUGGUCGUCAAAUGGGUCAAAGUUCUUCUGCGGCUGGACGUCAGCGUGGACCUCCAUCAGGAGCGCGAUGGUCACGGUGAUGCUCACCAGCGUGAUCUUCAUCAUGGAGCUCCAGAGAAAAAAAAACAGACUGAAC